AUGGCGCCGUGGCUGCUGCUCCCCUCCUUCCCGUGGCCUCCCCCGCCCCCUCCCGGCUCCUCCUCUGGCCGCGGCGGCGGAGGCGGUGGAGGCGACGGCGGAGAUUGGAAGCCCAACGUCGUCACGGCCAUCGCCGGCGUCCACCUCGGCCGCUCCCUCCGCCGUCGCCUCGCCGGCCUCCUCUGCUCGCCGGAGGUGCGGUCUCUUGAUGUCUUACCGAGAAUAGGUGACAUUUGGUUUGGAGGAUCACAGCCACUUGACACACAGCACCUUCUUGGGACGCUGGGAAAUGUGUUCUCCACAUCGUUUGUUUGCAGUUCUGCUUUUUUCGGUGGGAAUAGGUCAGGUGGGAGAUACGUCGGUAGCGGAAAUUUGCAGCCCAGACGGUCUCAUGGGAUCAACUCGAAGAAGAGGCUGUGGACUAAUGUCCUUCUUGCUGUUAACAUCCUGGCUUAUAUCGCUCAGAUAGCAUCGCAAGGAAAGCUUCUUAUGUGGGGAGCAAAGGUCAACAGCCUGAUUGAUAGAGGGGAGUUUUGGCGUUUGGCUACAUCAACAAUUCUUCAUGGAAAUCUUACUCAUCUUGCUUUCAAUUGUUUUUCUUUGAAUUCGAUUGGCCCUACUGUGGAGCUCGUUACUGGUCCUAAAAGAUUUCUUGCUGUUUAUUUCACUUCCGCACUGGCAGGUUCACUAAUGAGUUAUCGCUAUUGUCAAUCACCUUCUGUUGGCGCAUCAGGGGCCAUUUUUGGACUGGUUGGUGCCUAUGCUGUUUAUACAUGGAGGCACAGAAAGCUUUUGGGGCAUGGAAGGGAAAGUUUAGAGCAGAUCGCACGUGUGGUCAUCUUAAACAUGGGUAUGGGUCUCCUUUCAAGGGGCAUUGACAACUGGGGUCAUCUAGGAGGCUUGCUCGGGGGAGUGGCUGCGGCAUGGUUUCUUGGUCCAGCUUGGCAAAAUCAGUAUGUACCAAAGGAGGGAAGAAUGGUGUUCAAAGACAGGGCACCCAUUCACCAGCUAAUAGGCAGUAAACGAUCGCGGUAA
rnacentral:rRNA from 1 species